rnacentral:miRNA from 2 species
AGUGGUCCUAAACAUUUCAC